rnacentral:rRNA from 1 species
UACGGGGGGGAGCAAGCGUUGUUCGGAUUUACUGGGCGUAAAGGGCGUGUAGGCGGUUUCGUAUGUCUGGCGUGAAAGCCCCGGGCUCACCUCGGGGAAGUGCGUCGGAAACUGCGAGACUAGAGUCCCGGAGAGGGAGGUGGAAUUCCAGGUGUAGCGGUGAAAUGCGUAGAGAUGUGGAGGAACACCAAUGGCGAAGGCAGCCUCCUGGGCCAACACUGACACUCAUGCACGAAAGCGUGGGGAGCAAACAGG